GUAGCCCAUGGAGCAGCUCUGGAGGCCAAGAGAACCACCUGGCCAGAGCCUGCAGAGAACACCUGGGGACGGGGACGCAGGAUGGUUGCCUGCAUCAAACCUUCUUCCGAGUUGCUCCCAGGGUCCUUUUGGAGAGGCAGCUUGCAAAAGGGAUGGAAAGCAGGGACUCCAGAGUCUGACCCUCAUUGUUUUGAAUCCAGCUUUUUACCAGACUUAAGAGUGUGA
rnacentral:lncRNA from 1 species